GCCAGCUCGCGGCGUCCGUCUAGCUCUGAGAGUGACUUUGGGUUUCCAGGUCGUCGGAUCGGGCUCCCCUGUGCGACAAAACCUCCUGUUUGGGAAGGACCCUUUUCCUGGUGCAGAUGUCCAUUUCCUUAUCUCCAUUGCCUUCAAGCUUUCUCAGGGUUGAGAUCAGGACCAGAAGAGCA